rnacentral:rRNA from 1 species
UACGUAGGGGGCUAGCGUUGUCCGGAAUCAUUGGGCGUAAAGCGUCCGCAGGUGGCUGUGUAAGUCUGCUGUCAAAGAGCAAAGCUCAACUUUGUAAAGGCAGUGGAAACUACACGGCUAGAGUGCGUUCGGGGCAGAGGGAAUUCCUGGUGUAGCGGUGAAAUGCGUAGAGAUCAGGAAGAACACCGGUGGCGAAGGCGCUCUGCUAGGCCGCAACUGACACUGAGGGACGAAAGCUAGGGGAGCGAAUGGG